rnacentral:rRNA from 1 species
UACGUAGGGUGCGAGCGUUAAUCGGAAUUACUGGGCGUAAAGUGUGCGCAGGCGGCUCCGCAAGUCGAGUGUGAAAUCCCCGAGCUUAACUUGGGAAUUGCGCUCGAAACUACGGAGCUGGAGUGUGGCAGAGGAAGGUGGAAUUCCACGUGUAGCGGUGAAAUGCGUAGAGAUUGGGAAGAACACCAGUGGCGAAGGCGGCUAUCUGGACGGUUUCUGACGCUAAGACGCGAAAGCGUGGGGAGCAAACAGG